GUAUUGUGGUUGUGUUCAACUUUCUGAUAAAGCUAUAUUACUAAUUUAUGAAUUGGAUUUGAAAGUGGGUACUUCCUCCUGUAAUCAUUGAUAGUAUGCCAAUUAAUAAAAAUAUUUAGUGCCAUUCUUAAAUUGUCACAGGUGGCUGGAGUUAGAAAUAUAGGUUUUGUAGGUAUACCUCUUAUAAACCUUCACGAGUCUAUAACUCGUCCAUUAGGGACACCUAGGGGUUUAAAGGCCAGUUAUUCAUGCUAAGAGUAAUCGUAUCCUCGGCGACACGGAGUUGUAUGUAUGUUUUAGAAUUGUUUUGUUUGAUUUUAUCGAGGACUAGCAAAGUCUAAGUGUGGGGGAAUUUGAUAGGUGUGAUAAACACCUACAUUUAUAUCUAUUGUUUAUGCUUUCUUUGUGAAUUUUCAUGUAAAUUAUGUAUCUUAUGUGUGUUUUUGAAUUUAUAGGUGUUUUGGAGUCAUAUGGACCGAAAAGGAGCAAAAAAAAGGGUCAUUGUACAGGAAAAUGCUAUCCGGGACCCAGUCAAGGAUAGGGGGCAACCAAUUGGAGUCUAUGGCAGCAGAACCAGAGAUGGAGUUUACAUGGAAUUUGACUGAGAAUCAGAGAAAUCUGUUGUUGCCAUGGUAGAUCUUCAAGGGUUUAAUGUUGUUAUAGUCUCAGUGAAGAUUUUGAAUCAGAUCGAAGAAAUUUGGGUUUGAUUUCAAUCUGUGAUGGUCGAGGAACAAGGUGGAUUUGAUACUGAAAUCAAGACAUGGAACUGAUGAAGAACAGAUGGGAGAUUUGAGAGUUCAGUUAGGGUUUGUGUGAAUCAAAGAUUGUGGUCAGAGAAGGAGAACUCGAAUCUGAAAAUGCAGAAGUUAGGGUGUGUAGAAGAUGAAUUAUUGAAGAUUUAAGUUGCUGCUGAGAAGAUGGGUGUCUGAAAUUAAAGUUGAGUUGAAACUCCAGAAUUUGUAGCUGAGCAUAUGGGUUUUAGGUAUGAAGAAGAUUAGGGUGUUGGAUGAGAAGCUGAUUUCACAAACAAGAAGAACAAGGAAAUUGAAGGUUUUCAAGAAGUGGGUUUGUGCUAAUCCAAGCAUUGGCCGCAAGAUGGAGUAGCUAGUGGUGGUAAUGGAACUGCAGGUGUGCUGUUUUGCAGAGUGGAUCAUAGAUGAAUGUUAGGAUAGGCAAAAUGAUUAUAGUGGAAAAUUACUGGUCUUUAUGGUGCUGUAAUAGCACACAGUUAUGGGUUCGAGCUGUAAUUGAGAUGGAAAUGGAAAAUGGCAAGAUGCUGCAGCUGCAAUGAAGUGAACCAGUUGAAGCCUUGUGUUGAUUUGAAUGCAGGAUAAAGAAGAUAUUGGCAUUGGCUUGAGACUGAAAUAAGUAAGCUGCAGGAAUGAAUGGUAACCUGAAGUAGAUGAAUGUUAGGGCAAAUGUGCAGCUAGUAAUGAAGCUGAGAAGAUUAAUGGAACAGUGACUGCUUGAGGCUUGAAGUUUUGUGGAGAUAAAGCAAUGGUUGAAAUUCAUGGGUUUGUAGGCUCGAAUUAGGAUGGAUGUAAUGGCACUGCGAUGAAGGCUUGAAUCUGUGUUGGUCUAGGCUUGUGUGGGUAUUGAAAUAAAUCUGAGAUGUGCUGCUGAUGUGAGAUGGCAGCAAGAAAUUGUGGUUAGUACUUGAGCCUUGGGCUGAUGCAGCUGGAAGUGGAGUUGCAGCUGCUACAGAAGUUAAAGAAAGAAUGAAGUGAGAGAUUGCAAGGCUGAGAUGGUGUUUGCUGCAGCUUAGAUGCAGUUACAGUGGCAGUUGUGAUAUGGGAGAGUCUGGUUGGUGCUAUUGAAGUGUGCUAAUGCAUGGAACUGGUGGUGAUUCAAGCUAAAAAAUGAGCUUAGAUGCAUGUUAGGAAUUGCAGGGAAGUGACAGUGCCUGAACAAGGCUGCAGAAACAGUGCGAAAAGUGAGCUGAAUUGGUGCACUGGUGGUAUUAGUUCCGGUUGCCGGAUUUCGGAAUAGAAAGUGGGAAUUGCAAAGUUUCACUGAAUCGUGAAGGGGGUUCGAUUCGGAUGCAAGAGUCUACGGAGGGAUAUAUGAGCUACGAGUCACGCUUUUGGGCACGUUUUCGCAAGAACAAGGAAUUGGCUUAAGUGGUUCUUUUGUGAAUGUGUGGACUGCAGAGAAGCAGAGUUGAGCACUGGAAGUGUAGAAUUUCCUGGUGAUAGUUUCUGAUCAUUCAGGUGGCCAGAGACAUUUUCCCGAUGCCGGAUUCCGACGACAGUGACCAGAUUCCGGUAAUGACGUCUGCAACUCCGGCGACCAGUUUUGAACGCAAUUUACCAGAGACGUAUUUUUUAUAUACAUGGGAUUGGUGGACCACGUGGAGAUGGGUUUUGAGAAGACCUACAUUUAGAAAGAGUAUCCUUUUGGAAUGGGAGAAGCAUAUAAACAGAACAUUCUUUCUCUAAACCUAGAUAUCUCCAUUAGGGAGAGUUCUACUUUCGUUUCUAGGGUUCACAACAUGAAAGCUUUUCUUUUUCUUCUUGUUAUGAACUCCAUGAACAUGAGCUAGUUUUUAUUAUUGGUUUUAAGAUGUGAGUUGGAUUUCACAUAACAUGAUUCUUUGAUUCAAUAUAUUAGUUUUGUCU